rnacentral:lncRNA from 1 species
AGAGAUUUGGAAACCCCCGCAGGAAGAGUUUUUUAAAAGGCAUGGCAGAGAACUUCUAAAGGCAUUCCAGCUGGUCCUGGUCAUUCCCGCUGAUUCAUGCCAUUCUGGAGGUGGAGGACUGGUGGUUUCUGCUGGAUCAUGCCAUCGCUGUUGAUUCCUGGUUGGUAUCCUAAUACUACUUAACUGGACUGCUGUUAUCCUGACCAAUGAAGUAUGGAAUUACCCCCAAAGAACUACUUCUAAACAGGUCCACAUCCCCUUGUCCUCUUUACCA